rnacentral:misc_RNA from 1 species
CCGUGAAUUUGUGAAUGAAAUAGGCAUGAUAUCUGCUCUGCAACAUCCCAAUCUUGUAAAACUAUAUGGAUGCUGUGUUGAGGGAAACCAGUUGAUGCUCAUAUAUGAGUACAUGGAAAAUAACUGCCUAUCUCGUGCUCUUUUUGGGAAGCAUUCGACAAGCAGGCUAAAACUGGACUGGCCUACCAGGAAAAAAAUUUGUCUAGGUGUAGCUAGAGGUUUGUCAUACCUUCAUGAAGAGUCAAGAAUAAAAAUUGUGCACAGGGAUAUCAAGGCAAGCAAUGUGUUGCUUGAUAAGGAUCUGAAUGCCAAAAUUUCAGAUUUUGGUUUGG